rnacentral:rRNA from 1 species
GAUGAACGCUGGCGGCGUGCCUAAUACAUGCAAGUCGAGCGAACGGACGAGAAGCUUGCUUCUCUGAUGUUAGCGGCGGACGGGUGAGUAACACGUGGAUAACCUACCUAUAAGACUGGGAUAACUUCGGGAAACCGGAGCUAAUACCGGAUAAUAUUUUGAACCGCAUGGUUCAAAAGUGAAAGACGGUCUUGCUGUCACUUAUAGAUGGAUCCGCGCCGCAUUAGCUAGUUGGUAAGGUAACGGCUUACCAAGGCAACGAUGCAUAGCCGACCUGAGAGGGUGAUCGGCCACACUGGAACUGAGACACGGUCCAGACUCCUACGGGAGGCAGCAGUAGGGAAUCUUCCGCAAUGGGCGAAAGCCUGACGGAGCAACGCCGCGUGAGUGAUGAAGGUCUUCGGAUCGUAAAACUCUGUUAUUAGGGAAGAACAUAUGUGUAAGUAACUGUGCACAUCUUGACGGUACCUAAUCAGAAAGCCACGGCUAACUACGUGCCAGCAGCCGCGGUAAUACGUAGGUGGCAAGCGUUAUCCGGAAUUAUUGGGCGUAAAGCGCGCGUAGGCGGUUUUUUAAGUCUGAUGUGAAAGCCCGCGGCUCAACCGUGGAGGGUCAUUGGAAACUGGAAAACUUGAGUGCAGAAGAGGAAAGUGGAAUUCCAUGUGUAGCGGUGAAAUGCGCAGAGAUAUGGAGGAACACCAGUGGCGAAGGCGACUUUCUGGUCUGUAACUGACGCUGAUGUGCGAAAGCGUGGGGAUCAAACAGGAUUAGAUACCCUGGUAGUCCACGCCGUAAACGAUGAGUGCUAAGUGUUAGGGGGUUUCCGCCCCUUAGUGCUGCAGCUAACGCAUUAAGCACUCCGCCUGGGGAGUACGACCGCAAGGUUGAAACUCAAAGGAAUUGACGGGGACCCGCACAAGCGGUGGAGCAUGUGGUUUAAUUCGAAGCAACGCGAAGAACCUUACCAAAUCUUGACAUCCUUUGACAACUCUAGAGAUAGAGCUUUCCCCUUCGGGGGACAAAGUGACAGGUGGUGCAUGGUUGUCGUCAGCUCGUGUCGUGAGAUGUUGGGUUAAGUCCCGCAACGAGCGCAACCCUUAAGCUUAGUUGCCAUCAUUAAGUUGGGCACUCUAAGUUGACUGCCGGUGACAAACCGGAGGAAGGUGGGGAUGACGUCAAAUCAUCAUGCCCCUUAUGAUUUGGGCUACACACGUGCUACAAUGGACAAUACAAAGGGCAGCGAAACCGUGAGGUCAAGCAAAUCCCAUAAAGUUGUUCUCAGUUCGGAUUGUAGUCUGCAACUCGACUACAUGAAGCUGGAAUCGCUAGUAAUCGUAGAUCAGCAUGCUACGGUGAAUACGUUCCCGGGUCU